rnacentral:tRNA from 1 species
GUAGCUCAGUUGGUAGAGUCCCGGAUUGUGAUUCCGGUUGUCGUGGGUUCGAGCCCCAUC